rnacentral:rRNA from 1 species
GACGAACGCUGGCGGCGUGCUUAACACAUGCAAGUCGAACGGGAGUAUUGAAGAAGCUUGCUUUAGAGAUACUUUAGUGGCGGACGGGUGAGUAACGCGUGAGGCGCUGUCCAAUGCAGGGGGACAACAGUUGGAAAAGACUGCUAAUACCACAUAAGCCGAGAGGUAAACGGAUUUAUCCGGCAAUGGUGGUACUCGCGUCCUAUCAGCUAGUAGGAGAGGUAACGGCUCACCUAGGCGAAGACGGGUAGCCGGCCGGAGAGGGCGAACGGCCACACUGGAACUGAGAUACGGUCCAGACUCCUACGGGAGGCAGCAGUGGGGAAUAUUGGGCAAUGGGGGGAACCCUGACCCAGCGACGCCGCGUGGGUGAAGAAAUCCUUCGGGAUGUAAAGCCCUGUUGUAUGGGAAGGGCGGAAGACGGUACCAUACGAGGAAGCCCCGGCAAACUACGUGCCAGCAGCCGCCGUAA